UACAGAGGUCCCAAGCGUUGUUCGGAUUCAUUGGGCGUAAAGGGUGCGUAGGCGGCGCGGUAAGUCGGGUGUGAAAUCUCGGGGCUUAACUCCGAAACUGCAUUCGAUACUGCCGUGCUUGAGGACUGGAGAGGAGACUGGAAUUUACGGUGUAGCGGUGAAAUGCGUAGAUAUCGUAAGGAAGACCAGUGGCGAAGGCGGCAUCCUGGACCGGCAUUGACGCUGAGUGAGCGAAAGCUAGGGGAGCAAACGGG
rnacentral:rRNA from 1 species